CCCUUAGAUGUCCUGGGCCGCACGCGCGUUACACUGAUGCAUUCAACGAGCUUAUAACCUUGGCCGAGAGGCCUGGGCAAUCUUGUUAACGUGCAUCGUGAUAGGGAUAGAUUAUUGAAAUUAUUAAUCUUGAACGAGGAAUUCCUAGUAAACGCAGAUCAUCAAUCUGCAUUGAUUACGUCCCUGCCCCUUGUACACACCGCCCGUCGCACCUACCGAUUGGAUGGUCCGGUGAAGCCUCGGGAUUGUGGUUCUUGCCGCUUUAUUGUAGCGUGACCGCGAGAACUUGUCUAAACCUUAUCAUCUAGAGGAAGGUGAAGUCGUAACA
rnacentral:rRNA from 1 species